rnacentral:rRNA from 1 species
GACAGAGGGUGCAACGUUGUUCGGAAUUACUGGGCGUAAGCGAGUGUAGGCGGUUUGGUAAGUCGGAUGUGGAAAGCCCCGGGCUCAACCCCGGGAAGUGCACUCGAUACUGCCAAGCUAGAGUAUCGGGAGAGGUUGGUGGAAUUCUCGGUGAUAGAGGUGAAAUUCGUAGAUAUCGAGAGGAACAGCCGGUGGCGAAGGCGGCCAACUGGACGAAUACUGACGCUGAGACUCGAAAGCGUGGGGAGCAAACAGG